rnacentral:rRNA from 1 species
UACGAAGGUCCCGAGCGUUGUUCGGAAUCACUGGGCGUAAAGGGAGCGUAGGCGGCGUGGUAAGUCAGAUGUGAAAUCCCGGGGCUCAACCCCGGAACUGCAUCCGAUACUGCCAUGCUAGAGGAUUGGAGAGGUAGCUGGAAUUCACGGUGUAGCAGUGAAAUGCGUAGAUAUCGUGAGGAACACUCGUGGCGAAAGCGAGCUACUGGACAAUUCCUGACGCUGAGGCUCGAAGGCUAGGGUAGCGAAAGGG